GCAAUGCCGCGUGCAGGAUGAAGGCCUUCGGGUUGUAAACUGCUUUUGUACGGAACGAAACGGUGAGCUCUAAUACAGUUUGCUAAUGACGGUACCGUAAGAAUAAGCACCGGCUAACUACGUGCCAGCAGCCGCGGUAAUACGUAGGGUGCGAGCGUUAAUCGGAAUUACUGGGCGUAAAGCGUGCGCAGGCGGUGAUGUAAGACAGAUGUGAAAUCCCCGGGCUCAACCUGGGACCUGCAUUUGUGACUGCAUCGCUAGAGUACGGUAGAGGGGGAUGGAAUUCCGCGUGUAGCAGUGAAAUGCGUAGAUAUGCGGAGGAACACCGAUGGCGAAGGCAAUCCCCUGGACCUGUACUGACGCUCAUGCACGAAAGCGUGGGGAGCAAACAGGAUUAGAUACCCUGGUAGUCCACGCCCUAAACGAUGUCAACUGGUUGUUGGGUCUUCACUGACUCAGUAACGAAGCUAA
rnacentral:rRNA from 1 species